rnacentral:rRNA from 1 species
GACGAACGCUGGCGGCGUGCUUAACACAUGCAAGUGGAGCGACGAACCAGGGCUUGCCCUGGGGCAGAGCCGCGAACGGGUGAGUAACACGUGGGUAACGUGCCCCGAUGACUGGGACAACCCGGGGAAACCCGGGCUAAUACCGGAUGUGCCCCCUCGCACCUGCGAGGUGUGUAAAGGAAGCUUCGGCCUCCGCAUUGGGAUCGGCCCGCGGCCCAUUAGCUUGUUGGUGAGGUAACGGCUCACCAAGGCUCCGAUGGGUAGCUGGUCUGAGAGGACGAUCAGCCACACUGGGACUGAGACACGGCCCAGACUCCUACGGGAGGCAGCAGUGGGGAAUCUUGCGCAAUGCGCGAAAGCGUGACGCAGCAACGCCGCGUGGGGGAAGAAGGCCUUCGGGUUGUAAACCCCUUUCAGUUGGGACGAAGGGCGGGCGGUGAAUAGCCGUUCCGUCUGACGGUACCUUCACAAGAAGCCCCGGCUAACUACGUGCCAGCCGCCGCCGUAAAAC